rnacentral:rRNA from 1 species
UGAGGAAUAUUGGUCAAUGGUCGGGAGACUGAACCAGCCAAGCCGCGUGAGGGAUGAAGGUGCUAAGCAUUGUAAACCUCUUUUGUCAGGGAACAAAGGCAUCCACGAGUGGAUGUGUGAGUGUACCUGAAGAAAAAGCAUCGGCUAACUCCGUGCCAGCAGCCGCGGUAAUACGGAGGAUGCGAGCGUUAUCCGGAUUUAUUGGGUUUAAAGGGUGCGUAGGCGGCCUGUUAAGUCAGCGGUAAAAGCCCGGGGCUCAACCCCGGCGAGCCGUUGAAACUGGCUGGCUGGAGUUGGCGAGAGGUAUGCGGAAUGCGCGGUGUAGCGGUGAAAUGCUUAGACAUCGCGCAGAACUCCGAUUGCGAAGGCAGCAUGCCGGCGCCACACUGAUGCUGAGGCACGAAAGCGUGGGGAUCGAAACAGGAUUAGAUACC